rnacentral:rRNA from 1 species
UGGGGAAUAUUGCACAAUGGGCGAAAGCCUGAUGCAGCGACGCCGCGUGAGGGAUGACGGCCUUCGGGUUGUAAACCUCUUUCAGUAGGGACGAAGCGCAAGUGACGGUACCUGCAGAAGAAGCACCGGCUAACUACGUGCCAGCAGCCGCGGUAAUACGUAGGGUGCGAGCGUUGUCCGGAAUUACUGCGCGUAAAGAGCUCGUAGGCGGUUUGUCACGUCGUCUGUGAAAUCCUAGGGCUUAACCCUGGACGUGCAGGCGAUACGGGCUGACUUGAGUACUACAGGGGAGACUGGAAUUUCUGGUGUAGCGGUGGAAUGCACAGAUAUCAGGAAGAACACCGAUGGCGAAGGCAGGUCUCUGGGUAGUAACUGACGCUGAGGAGCGAAAGCAUGGGUAGCGAACAGG